rnacentral:tRNA from 1 species
GGGGUUGAGGCUCAGAGGUAGAGUGCUUGCCUAGCAUGCAUGAGGCACUGGGUUCGAUCCUCAGCACCACA